rnacentral:rRNA from 1 species
UAGGGAAUAUUGCAAAAUGGGCGAAAGCCCGAUGCAGCAACGCCGCGUGGGCGAUGAAGGCCUUCGGGUCGUAAAGCCCUUUUUGAGGGGAUGAGGAAGGACAGUACCCUCAGAAUAAGCCUCGGCUAACUACGUGCCAGCAGCCGCGGUAAAACGUAGGAGGCGAGCGUUAUCCGGACUUACUGGGCGUAAAGCGCGUGCAGGCGGAUUGGAGAGUUGGAUGUGAAAGCUCCCGGCUUAACUGGGAGAGGUCGUUCAAUACUUCCAGUCUUGAGUGCAGUAGAGGGAAGUGGAAUUCCGGGUGUAGUGGUGAAAUGCGUAGAUAUCCGGAGGAACACCAGUGGCGAAAGCGGCUUCCUGGACUGUAACUGACGCUCAGACGCGAAAGCUAGGGUAGCAACG